rnacentral:rRNA from 1 species
UAGAGAAUCCUAAGGCGCGCGAGAGAACCCUCGUUAAGGAACUCGGCAAAAUGACCCCGUAACUUAGGGAGAAGGGGUGCUCUAUUAGCGUGAGUAUGUUUAACAUAUAUGAGCGUGAGAGAGCCGCAGUGAUCAGGCCCAGGCGACUGUUUAACAAAAACACAGGUCUCUGCUAAAUCGAAAGAUGAAGUAUAGAGGCUGACGCCUGCCCGGUGCCGGAAGGUUAAGAGGAAGUGUUAGCGCAAGCAAAGCACUGAGCCGAAGCCCCGGUGAACGGCGGCCGUAACAAUAACGGUCCUAAGGUAGCGAAAUUCCUUGUCUGGUAAGUUCAGACCCGCACGAAAGGCGUAACGAUCUGGGCGCUGUCUCGACGAGGGGCUCGGUGAAAUUGUAAUACCGGUGAAGAUGCCGGUUACCUGCGAUAGGAUAGAAAGACCCCGUGGAGCUUUACUGCAGCUUGAUAUUGAAUUUUGGUAGUUGAUGUACAGGAUAGGUGGGAGACUAAGAAGUGAGGUCGCAAGGUCUCAUGGAGUCAACGGUGGGAUACCACUCUUUAAUUGCUGGGAUUCUAACCUGGGCCCGUGAUCCGGGUCAGGGACAGUGUCUGGCGGGCAGUUUGACUGGGGCGGUCGCCUCCCAAAGAGUAACGGAGGCGCCCGAAGGUUUCCUCAGCGCGGAUGGAAAUCGCGCGAAGAGUGUAAAGGCAUAAGGGAGCUUGACUGCGAGAGAGACAUCUCGAGCAGGGACGAAAGUCGGGCUUAGUGAUCCGGCGGUACCGAGUGGAAGGGCCGUCGCUCAUCGGAUAAAAGCUACCCCGGGGAUAACAGGCUUAUCUCCCCCAAGAGUUCACAUCGACGGGGAGGUUUGGCACCUGAUGUCGGCUCAUCACAUCCUGGGGCUGGAGAAGGUCCCAAGGGUUGGGCUGUUCGCCCAUUAAAGUGGUACGUGAGCUGGGUUCAGAAGGUCGUGAGACAGUUCGGUCCCUAUCCAUCGCAGGCGCAGGAGAAUUGAGAGGAUCUGUCCCUAGUACGAGAGGACCGGGAUGGACAGACCGCUGGUGUACCAGUUGUCUCGCCAGAGGCAUCGCUGGGUAGCUAUGUCUGGGACGGAUAAGCGCUGAAAGCAUCUAAGCGCGAAGCCAACCUCAAGAUGAGUUCUCCCACUCCUUAAGGAGGUAAGAUCCCAUCAAGAAUAGGUGGUUGAUAGGCCGGGUGUGUAAGUGUAGUGAUGCAUUAAGCUGACCGGUACUAAUAGAUCGAGGUCUUGACC